rnacentral:rRNA from 1 species
AACGAACGCUGGCGGCAUGCCUAACACAUGCAAGUCGAACGAGACCUUCGGGUCUAGUGGCGCUCGGGUGCGUAACGCGUGGGAACCUGCCCUUAGGUUCGGUAUCAUUCAGAGAAAUUUGAGCUAAUACCGGUUGAUGUCUUCGGACCAAAGAUUUAUCGCCUUUGGGUGGGCCCGCGUUGGUUUCGCUAGUUGGUGGUGUAAUGGCCUACCAAGGCGACGAUCCAUAGCUGGUCUGUGAGGAUGAUUAGCCACACUGGGACUGAGACACGGCCCAGACUGGUACGGGAGGGAGCAGUGGGGAAUACAGGACGAUGGGCGAAGGCCUGAUCCCGCAAGGCCGGGUAAGUGAUGAAGGCGGUAGGGAAGUAAAGCUCUUUUACCCGAGGUGAUAAUGACGGUAACGGGAGAAUAAGCACCGGCUAACUCCGUG